rnacentral:snRNA from 1 species
UGCGUCCUGGUCGGAUGCGG